UACGGGGGGGGCUAGCGUUGUCCGGAAUUAUUGGGCGUAAAGGGCGCGUAGGCGGAAUUGUAAGUCAGUGGUUAAAUUUCGGGACUUAACUCCGAGUCUGCCUCUGAGACUACAAUUCUUGAGUGCGAAAGAGGAAAGCGGAAUUCCCGGUGUAGCGGUGAAAUGCGUAGAUAUCGGGAAGAACACCAGUAGCGAAGGCGGCUUUCUGGUUCGCAACUGACGCUGAGGCGCGAAAGCGUGGGUAGCAAACAGG
rnacentral:rRNA from 1 species